CUGGGAGUUAGCAAGCAAAUCAGUGGGACCUUUUGAUACAGGAGCCGAUAGGAGGGAGUUGGCUGGCUGUUUAUUCAGCGUUUUGUGGCGCGGGUUGUUAGUGGCGUCCGUGCAGCAGCUGCAGUUCACCUAAGUGAACAGAAUUAUCAUCUUCGCGGCGUCCGUGCACCAGUUAUAGUUCACCGAGGUUGGGCAUGACGUGCUGCAAUAUGUGGCAGUAGUGUGAGCGGCCCGGCCAGCGCUGUUGUCUC